rnacentral:rRNA from 1 species
CUAGCGACUUCAGAGUUUGAUCCUGGCUCAGGAUUAACGCUGGCGGCGUGCAUAACACAUUCAAGUCGAACGGUGACGAGUGCUUCGGCACUCUGAUCAGUGGCGGACGGGUGAGUAACGCGUGAGCAACCUGCCCUUUUGUGGGGGAUAACGACGGGAAACUGUCGCUAAUACCGCAUAACCAGGUAGUACCGCAUGGUACAGCCUGCAAAGAUUUAUUGCAAAAGGAUGGGCUCGCGUCUGAUUAGCUAGUUGGUGGGGCAACGGCCUACCAAGGCGACGAUCAGUAGCCGGACUGAGAGGUUGAACGGCCACAUUGGAACUGAGAUACGGUCCAG